UACGGAGGAUGCGAGCGUUAUCCGGAUUUAUUGGGUUUAAAGGGUGCGUAGGCGGCAAUGCAAGUCAGGCGUGAAAGCUCGGGGCUUAACCCCGAAACUGCGCUUGAAACUGUGUUGCUUGAGUGAAGUAGAGGUAGGCGGAAUUCCCGGUGUAGCGGUGAAAUGCGUAGAGAUCGGGAGGAACACCAGUGGCGAAGGCGGCCUACUGGGCUUUAACUGACGCUGAGGCACGAAAGCAUGGGUAGCAAACAGG
rnacentral:rRNA from 1 species